rnacentral:rRNA from 1 species
CCAAAUCUUGACAUCCUCUGACCCCUCUAGAGAUAGAGUUUUCCCCUUCGGGGGACAGAGUGACAGGUGGUGCAUGGUUGUCGUCAGCUCGUGUCGUGAGAUGUUGGGUUAAGUCCCGCAACGAGCGCAACCCUUAAGCUUAGUUGCCAUCAUUAAGUUGGGCACUCUAAGUUGACUGCCGGUGACAAACCGGAGGAAGGUGGGGAUGACGUCAAAUCAUUAUGCCCCUUAUGAUUUGGGCUACACACGUGCUACAAUGGACAAUACAAAGGGUAGCGAAACCGCGAGGUCAAGCAAAUCCCAUAAAGUUGUUCUCAGUUCGGAUUGUAGUCUGCAACUCGACUAUAUGAAGCUGGAAUCGCUAGUAAUCGUAGAUCAGCAUGCUACGGUGAAUACGUCCCC